rnacentral:rRNA from 1 species
UACAGAGGUCUCGAGCGUUGUUCGGAUUCAUUGGGCGUAAAGGGCGCGUAGGCGGCGGGGUAAGUCUGGUGUGAAAUCUCGGAGCUCAACUCCGAAAUUGCACUGGAUACUGCUCUGCUAGAGGGCUGGAGAGGAGAUCGGAAUUCACGGUGUAGCAGUGAAAUGCGUAGAUAUCGUGAGGAAGACCAGUGGCGAAGGCGGGUCUCUGGACAGUUCCUGACACUGAGACACGAAGGCCAGGGGAGCAAACGGG